UGCAUUAGCUCGCGAAACUACGCCAAUCGGAAACGGAGAAAUGUCGUGAAAUUCAAAAACUUAAAAUGGAAUUAUCCAAAGCUCAAUAUAACAUAACCAAGCUGGAAGAACAAAUACAAAGAGAUCAACAGCUACUCGACAUAAGAAGCGAUUUAAUCAACUCGCUGCAGACAAACGAAACCAGUCAACGGAUUCAGCUGGAGGAGUUUAUGGCCCAGAUGGGUGAAAAGAACAGCACCAUUAAUCAGCUCACAAAUGACUUGCGCGUCAAGACGGAGGAAUUUCAAAAUCUUUACACAAACAUCAAUGACAAACAAUUGGAACUCUCCAAUCAGGAACACAUGAUCAAACUUUUGGAAGAGAGCAACGAACGUUGUCAGCUGUUGAGGGUACAGCAGGAGGAGAAAAUCGGUCGACUCGAAGAGGAUAUUGCCCAUUUGAAGCAGACCAUAAAAAUUUAUGAGCAACAUUAUCAAAGUGCUUUUCUUACGCAAUACGAAAAUUGGACACGAUAACGGAAAACUUUUAUACAAAACGAUAUAUUUUUAAAGAAACAUAUUUUAUAACAGUUUAUGAAAAACCACGGAAACCACAGCCAUGCAUGUAAAUUCCAAUACCAAAUUAAAUUGUGAGUCGCCUUUGAGUGAAAACUAUGAAAAUUACAGUGAAAAUUUCCAUCACUACACCAGCCAGCGUAAGCGUAAACGUCGAAUUGCCAUC